rnacentral:rRNA from 1 species
UAAGGAAUAUUGGUCAAUGGACGCAUGUCUGAACCAGCCAUGCCGCGUGAAGGAUGAAGGUCCUCUGGAUUGUAAACUUCUUUUAUCUGGGACGAAAACGGGAUUUUUAUCUCAAUUGACGGUACCAGAGGAAUAAGCACCGGCUAACUCCGUGCCAGCAGCCGCGGUAAUACGGAGGGUGCGAGCGUUAUCCGGAUUUACUGGGUUUAAAGGGUGCGUAGGUGGGCUUAUAAGUCAGUGGUGAAAUCUCCGAGCUUAACUUGGAAACUGCCGUUGAUACUAUAGGUCUUGAAUUAUCUGGAGGUAAGCGGAAUAUGUCAUGUAGCGGUGAAAUGCUUAGAUAUGACAUAGAACACCAAUUGCGAAGGCAGCUUACUACAUAUAAAUUGACGCUGAGGCACGAAAGCGUGGGGAUCAAACA